CCAGUCGUAACUGAAGCGACGCCACCGACGUGGAGGAGAAGUGCAGUGUAAAAGCAUCACAAGGCCAAAGUUCAAAGAAGAGCGCGAUGGGCUCUUCCAGACGUUGCCAGCAGGAGUCAACAACGAGUAAGCGGCACAAAUGACCACGCAGAAGAAGAGAAGACGGAAACGGCGACAACGGAAAACGGCGGAAAGUUUUCAGUUUGCUGUUGUAUUAGACCGGUCACCAGCCAACGUCACGCGUGCGCUCUUCAGCGAUGACGUCGCCGAUGCCCACGAAGGUGUUCCGCAGCCCGGCUCGUCACGGCUACGCGGUCGAGGCGUCGCCCUUCUUGGCCCAAAGGAUGGCUUGCGCCACCUCUCAGCACUACGGCAUAGCAGGCGGGGGCUCGCUGCUGGUCGUCGACGACACGCCGGCCGGACUUCGCCUCGUGAGAAGCCGUCUGGUUUGCGUGCCGUCAGGUGGGAUUGGAGCGACGGCGUGUUUGACGUGUCGUGGAGCGAGGCCAACGAGCACGUGUUGGUGGCGGCGGGUGGCGACGGCAGCCUGCAGCUGUGGGAUGCUCACCGCCGGGAUGGCGCCCCCCUCAGGGCGGCCAAGGAACACACCCAAGAGGUUUAUGCGGUGGACUGGAGUCAGACGAGAGGCGAGGACGCCAUCGUGUCGGGGUCUUGGGAUCGCACCGCCAAAGUGUGGGACGCCGUCCUCGGCCAAUCGCUGAGCACUCUCACAGGUCACCAGGGAGUCAUCUACAGCACCAUUUGGUCACCUCACAUUUCUGCCUGCUUUGCUUCCGCCUCAGGUGACGGGACGCUGCGAGUGUGGGACGCGAAGGCCGGCGCCUGCCAAUUGGUGGUCCCGGCGCACGACGGCGAGGUUCUGACCUGCGAUUGGUGCAAAUACGAUCAGAACAUCGCGGUGACGGGCUCCGUGGACCGCAGUUUGCGCGUUUGGGACCUGAGGAACCCCAGACAGCCUGUCAAUCAAAUGAGAGGCCACGCCCUCGCCGUCCGGCGGGUCAAGUUUUCUCCGUUCAGCGGCAACGUGCUGGCGUCCUGCUCGUACGACUUCACCGUCAGGCAUCGCCGUGCGACAAUAGGCGAAUAUUCGAGCCAUUCGGAGGAGCCGGGUGGCCCCGCGACUUCAUCGCUUUAGCCGUGAACAAGGAGCGCAGGGCGACCAAUCGCGACGACGAUUACGAUGAGAAGGACAAACUCGGUCGCGCAUUCGGCCAAAUCUUUUUGACGCGGUCGACGUGCACGUUGUGCAAACAGAGUGUGUGCGUGACUCACAAAGCUGACAGGUGAACACACUUGUGACACAAAAGCAACAAUGGGAGCCCAAUCAUUCAUUACCAUGGAAAACGCGCACAAAGAACUCUUUGUGCUCGUGACGUCAACCUGAUCAACCACGUUGGGGGAAAAAAAAAAAAAGUUACUCGACUGACGUGUACUGCACAGUGGAACCUGGGUUCAAGGUUCCUAAUGGGGGCGGCGUGGCAGGUUCGUCCGUCUCAUUCCCGUUCUCAUUCUUUUUUUGUGGCCUAAAACCGACUUGUCCUGGUUAUAAUGGGACUGCAAAUAAGUGGAGCUAAGUUUGUUUUUCCCAGACGUGGAGUUGCUCGGAAUGACCAUGUCACGGGGAUGAGUUGAGAGCCGUCGGUCCGGCGUACUGUGACCCCGCGACGAGCGCUCGUUAGCUUCGGUGAACAACAUCCGCGGGUCGGUGAAAGCUAAUUUCCUCGCGUCGCUCUUGAUGCUGCACAACUAGUUGGGGUCUUGGCCUCAAAGUUCUCAGGACCAGGGUUUGAAUCCCUGCCCCGCCUGCGCGGAGUGGCGGUCGCCAGCCAAUCGCGGGGCACAGGAAGACGGACAACAGUCGCGCUCACAAUCACACCGUUGAAAACCAAAAGACGGAUUGUGGCGUCGCCCAGCGUGAGGACGUGUGACAGGAGCGAAGAGCGAGCGGCUAUUGAGACCAUAAAAGUUUGCCUGCGGACCCGAGCCAACGGCGGCCAAUCGCACUAAUUGAAGCACUUUCCCAGCCUCAAAGCCCUUGCGCAGCAAAACCUCGCGUCCAGAUUCAUCCACUUUGCAAAUGUGAUUCGAUCAUAGUGAGCGAGAGAGAGAGAGAACACUGACCGGUGGGGGGGGGGGCAUUAAACACGGUACCCCACGGAGCGAGCGGUGUCACCAACCAAAGCCGACUGUUGCACGCCAGACGUGUUCGCUCAAAAUGAAAGGCCGGGCCGAGCGGAAGCGGCGAGGCGACUUCAUUUGUGGAGGACAAUUCAACAGCAAAGUGUGUUGCAAAGACAUGACGUGAUUUAAGAUGAAAACAAAUAAAUCACUGGUUAAAAUAUCAUUCCAUUUAGAAAAGGAAGAACUGCUCCGCGCAAUCAAUGCUAGCAAAGCAGCGCGGUGAAGCGUCAACGCUACGCUUUUAGCAGGUACGCAAUGCUACGCUAGCUCAAAAGUUGUGGGGGUAAAAGAUUGGCCAAACACCCUCUGCCACGCCUUCACGUGCGACUAACCUACGGUGUUAGCUAGCUUAGCGGCCCGAUGAACACGCUAGCACAAGCUAGCCAGUUGAGCACGUUUGUCUUUGAUUGCCCUUUGAGGUUUUGGGACUGGAAGAACGCAAAUCCUCUCGUGGACACGGUGGAGCAUCACUCGGAGUUUGUGUGUGGAUUAGACUUCAACGUCCACGUACCCAACCAGGUGCUGGACUGUUCGUGGGACGAGACCGUCAAGGUCUACACGCCGCCGU